rnacentral:rRNA from 1 species
AUUGAGCGCUGGCGGCAUGCCUUACACAUGCAAGUCGAACGGCAGCACGGGAGCAAUCCUGGUGGCGAGUGGCGAACGGGUGAGUAAAGUAUCGGAACGUGCCCAGUCGUGGGGGAUAACGUAGCGAAAGCUACGCUAAUACCGCAUACGAUCUAUGGAUGAAAGCGGGGGAUCGCAAGACCUCGCGCGAUUGGAGCGGCCGAUAUCAGAUUAGGUAGUUGGUGGGGUAAAGGCUCACCAAGCCGACGAUCUGUAGCUGGUCUGAGAGGACGACCAGCCACAAUGGGACUGAGACACGGCCCAGACUCCUACGGGAGGCAGCAGUGGGGAAUUUUGGACAAUGGGCGAAAGCCUGAUCCAGCCAUGCCGCGUGCAGGAUGAAGGCCUUCGGGUUGUAAACUGCUUUUGUACGGAACGAAAAGGUUUGGCCUAAUAAGCUGAGCUCAUGACGGUACCGUAAGAAUAAGCACCGGCUAACUACGUGCCAGCCGCCGCAGUAA